UGGUGGAGUGAUUUGUCAGGUUAAUUCCGUUAACGAACGAGACCUUAGCCUACUAAAUAGUCGUCGUAAUUAAAUUGCGAGCGACUUCUUAGAGGGACUUUGUACAAAAUACAAGGAAGUUUGAGGCAAUAACA
rnacentral:rRNA from 1 species